GGGCCCGCACAAGCGGUGGAGUAUGUGGUUUAAUUCGAUGCAACGCGAAGAACCUUACCAGGGUUUGACAUCCUGCGAAUCUCUUGGAAACGAGAGAGUGCCUUCGGGAACGCAGUGACAGGUGGUGCAUGGCUGUCGUCAGCUCGUGUCGUGAGAUGUUGGGUUAAGUCCCGCAACGAGCGCAACCCACAUCCCUAGUUGCCAGCAGUUCGGCUGGGCACUCUAUGGAAACUGCCCGUGAUAAGCGGGAGGAAGGUGUGGAUGACGUCAAGUCCUCAUGGCCCUUACGGGUUGGGCUACACACGUGCUACAAUGCUACGGACAAAGAGCAGCAAGUUCGCGAGGACAAGCAAAUCUCAUAAACCGUGGCUCAGUUCAGAUCGUAGGCUGCAACUCGCCUACGUGAAGGAGGAAUCGCUAGUAAUCGCAGGUC
rnacentral:rRNA from 1 species